UACGAAGGGAGCUAGCGUUGUUCGGAAUUACUGGGCGUAAAGCGCGCGUAGGCGGCUUUGUAAGUUAGAGGUGAAAGCCCGGGGCUCAACCCCGGAACUGCCUUUAAGACUGCAUCGCUUGAAUCCGGGAGAGGUGAGUGGAAUUCCGAGUGUAGAGGUGAAAUUCGUAGAUAUCGGGAGGAACACCGGUGGCGAAGGCGGCCCCCUGGUUGGAUACUGACGCUGAGACGCGAAAGCGUGGGGAGCAAACAGG
rnacentral:rRNA from 1 species